CACACACACCUGGUGCAGAGUUCAAGUGGAACUGACAGCAUUUUAUCAACAUGAAAUGGUAUAACAAUCUGUUCAUAGAGACCCCAGGAUGAAUGAGUUUUUAUUUUGUACAUAUUCUGACCAGUGAACACUUGGAUGGGGGCACUCCCAUUUUCACACUUCCAUAGAAGGUAGGGAUGACGUCCCCGUGCCUCCCAGCUGAAACACUUCCAUAGAAUGUAGGGAUGACGUCCGCGUGCCUCCCAGCUGAAACACUUCCAUAGAAUGUAGGGAUGACGUCCGCGUGCCUCCCAGCUGAAACACUUCCAUAGAAUGUAGGGAUGAGGUCCGCGUGCCUCCCAGCUGAAACACUUCCAUAGAAUGUAGGGAUGACGUCCGCGUGCCUCCCAGCUGAAACACUUCCAUAGAAUGUAGGGAUGAGGUCCGCGUGCCUCCCAGCUGAAACACUUCCAUAGAAUGUAGGGAUGACGUCCGCGUGCCUCCCAGCUGAAACACUUCCAUAGAAUGUAGGGAUGACGUCCGCGUGCCUCCCAGCUGAAACACUUCCAUAGAAUGUAGGGAUGAGGUCCGCGUGCCUCCCAGC